rnacentral:lncRNA from 1 species
AAGCUGAAAGUGGGUAUGAAUGGGAAGAGAUUACAUUGUCGGAAUAUUGAGAAUUUUUUGUUGGCGAUCCGAACCAGGAAUCAAUCAAAUUAGUAACAUGACUUUGCAUGCUUUGAGGUUGAGCAAUGCCAAAAUAUCAAUAUUUCUAGCCAUCCAAACUUUGACUACUAGUAGCCUGUUGGAAAGGUGAGUGAGCUAAUAUAUGUCAGUGAUAGACUAUAAUCUAACUUUUACUCAUUGUCAUAUUACACGCAUUUUGACUAUGAUACGGAAUACUUAAAUGACAAAACUACAUCUUGUGUAGUUGAAGAUACGUGUGAAUUAUUCUUAGAACUAAAUUAGCUUGGAGAUGUCAUAUUUAAAUAGAGAAAAUUAAAAUUUUGAGGAACCCUUACAAUUCAGGCUUGUACAAUAAUCCUCUAAGUGUGUCUCUUUCAACUGUCCCAACAUGCAAUUAAUGUCCUAGUCGGUAGUAUUAGGAAUGCCUCCUAAUUUUAUCACUUCUAUCAUAAUAAAAUAAUUUCAAUCACAAAUUUAUUUUAAAAAUAUGUUACGAUGAAACUUAUUUUCGUAGUAUACCAAAUGAGCUAUACGUGAUUAGAGUGUUAUGUAGAAUGAAAGUGCAAAGUAGAUCAAAUGAGUUCUGAGUAUGAGUGAUAAAUAGAACGAAAGUACAUUUUCAGGAGGGAGAUGCCAUUAAUUAUUGUCAAAUAUCUUAUCUUAAAUUGUUUACAUUUGGAAGAGGGGGUUACCUUAAGGGACAUCCUAACAUGUCUUAUCCAGACGUAAUGAAUUUAUGCUGCGCGAGUUAGAUAGUUGAGGAGGCAAGUAGCAACGUGCAAUUCAGUAGUUCAAGGGGAGAGUUUGAG